UUAUAUGUGAAGAAGAGGAAAGUAGAUGAUGAUGCGUGUUUCAGAGAGCUGCCCCGUGGCUGUGAGGGCGGUAACAAGCAAAUCAUUGAAAAUCACCUCGGAGCAUCGCUUUCGAAAGGGAAUUUGAGUAGAGAGCGACGGGCUCGUCUCCGAUAAAUGGACGGAGGUCUGAUGGGACCUACUGAGCUUAUAUUUCGUGAGGAAUAUAAGGAAGCUGAGUGGUAACGCGAAACUCUCGCCUCAGCA
rnacentral:ncRNA from 1 species